GGCGCGGUAGCAAAGCGGUUAUGCGGCGGCCUGCAAAGCCGCUCAGGUCGGUUCGACUCCGGCUCGCGCCUCCA
rnacentral:tRNA from 134 species